rnacentral:tRNA from 1 species
UCCUUGGUGGUCCAGUGGUUAGGACUCCAGGCUUUCACUGCCAAGGGCCUGGGUUCAAUCUCUAGUCAAGGAA